UAGGGAAUCUUCGGCAAUGGGGGGAACCCUGACCGAGCAACGCCGCGUGAGUGAAGAAGGUUUUCGGAUCGAAAAGCUCUGUUGUUAAGGAAGAACGAGUGUGAGAAUGGAAAGUUCAUACUGUGACGGUACUUAACCAGAAAGGGACGGCUAACUACGUGCCAGCAGCCGCGGUAAUACGUAGGUCCCGAGCGUUGUCCGGAUUUAUUGGGCGUAAAGCGAGCGCAGGCGGUUAGAUAAGUCUGAAGUUAAAGGCAGUGGCUCAACCAUUGUAGGCUUUGGAAACUGUUUAACUUGAGUGCAGAAGGGGAGAGUGGAAUUCCAUGUGUAGCGGUGAAAUGCGUAGAUAUAUGGAGGAACACCGGUGGCGAAAGCGGCUCUCUGGUCUGUAACUGACGCUGAGGCUCGAAAGCGUGGGGAGCGAACAGG
rnacentral:rRNA from 1 species